rnacentral:rRNA from 1 species
AUUGAACGCUGGCGGCAGGCCUAACACAUGCAAGUCGAACGGUAGCACAGAGAGCUUGCUCUCGGGUGACGAGUGGCGGACGGGUGAGUAACGUCUGGGAAACUGCCCGAUGGCGGGGGAUAACUACUGGAAACGGUAGCUAAUACCGCAUAACGUCGCAAGACCAAAGUGGGGGACCUUCGGGCCUCACACUAUCGGAUGUGCCCAGAUGGGAUUAGCUAGUAGGUGGGGUAAUGGCUCACCUAGGCGACGAUCCCUAGCUGGUCUGAGAGGAUGACCAGCCACACUGGAACUGAGACACGGUCCAGACUCCUACGGGAGGCAGCAGUGGGGAAUAUUGCACAAUGGGCGCAAGCCUGAUGCAGCCAUGCCGCGUGUAUGAAGAAGGCCUUCGGGUUGUAAAGUACUUUCAGCGGGGAGGAAGGCGGUGAAGUUAAUAGCUUAACCGAUUGACGUUACCCGCAGAAGAAGCACCGGCUAACUCCGUGCCAGCAGCCGCCGUAA